GGGCCUGUAAAGGUUUCGACAGGGAGUAUGAAACUAUAGAAGCUAUUCGUAGGCGGGACGCGUUAAGUAGCAAAAUAAAUUUAAACGCUAACAAUAGUUAUCGUUUAGCAGCGUAAUCUGCUAUGUUUAAUAUAUUAUCACUCGUAGUAAUAUAUUAGGCAUCAUUAUAUACGGGACACUGAAGGACUAUGUCUCUAAAUCCUUUAAGUAAUAGAGAAUCGAUUGAAAUACUGUUUGUUUAUUUAUGGUAUGAUAUUUAAAUCUAAAAAAUAAACUAUAAUAGUAGAAGGAUAGUGGAGUGCUUUUUGGACAGGGGUUCGAUUCCCCUCAGGUCCAU
rnacentral:tmRNA from 1 species